UUUCCACCACUCCCCACCUUUAUUUAUUUGGUCCGCUGGACGGUUGGCUGACAAGUGUUUGAUGAACUAGCUUCAGAUACAAUGCUGCAAAAGGUCAUUCGCCUACUGAUUAUGUUUCUACUUGUAAACGCAGUUGGUAGUUUGCAAAACAAGUGGCAAAAUAGUGUGGUGAUUCGGUGGGGGAGACUAGAAUGAGUAAUUCCUAUGAAGUGUCGGAGUCUUCCUAAGGGUGAGUAGCUUGAGCGGCAGGUGAAGUUGAAUAAAACAAAUUUCCAUCAUCUUCUCUCUGUACUCUUUCUGCAUUUUUCUUCCUCUUGUUGUUCCUCUCCCCUGGGGCAAAUGGAGAGCCAAUAACAUUAUUUUAAAAUAGGACUAUAGUGAAAAUAGAAAGGUGCCAAUGAUAUUUUAUUCACUGGAGUUGCUUGAAAUAUUAAAAUUGGCCCUUUACUUCUUAAUACAUAUUAAUAGGGUGACCCUCUUCAAGGCUUUCUCUUCUAGGACAAGUGUUCAGAAUAACAUCCUGUAAGGGAAACAGUUAAUCAUUCCCCAUCCAACAAGCUUUAACCAUGUUCCAGGAACAUUCACUGGCUGAGAGAGCAGCCUUUGUGGCAUUUUGGUUUUGUGUAAUUUUUGGUUCAUUACAAUAUUUUUUAUUCAUUUAAGGGAAGGUGAAAGGAGAAUAAGGUUUAUGUCUAGGGCGUAAUCCUAAACAUUGUGUCUUAAGCAAACACGUUUUCUUUUAAAAACAUUCAGUAAUACAAAGAAUUACAUUUCCUUUAUUUCAACUUCCAUAGAGAUUAUAAUUAUGAUAGUUGCAAGACAUUUUGGUCAGUUCUGUUAUGAGAAGCAAAAAUAGAGAUUAAUGACAUGUUUAAAAAAUGGAAAAAAAAGGAGAAUGUUUUGCAUGAUUUGUACAUAAAAAGAAAACAAUGUGAGUUUUAGAUCUAUGUCUAUCUUGCACCUAGUAAUUUCUCACAUUAUCUUUGAACACUGUGAUUCUGAUGUUUCUUAGAAAAUCUUGAAGUCAUGAUAUAGUGACAUAAGAAUAAUAGCUGAAAGGGAUAAUUUUAAAAGACUUAAUCCUAAAUGGAAAGGAGCACUCAUUCCCAGGGUCAUUUACAUUCAAGUAGAACACAGGACUGGGUCAGGGAGAAAGCCACCCUUAAUAAAGCACUUCACCCUUCACACUGUUUCCCAUAACCUUCAUAAAUUGCAGGCUACUGAGCCAGCCUGAUGAUGAUCCCGCUGAGGUAUAUUUAUAGCAGAUGAUUUGUGGAUGAUAAAUAUGCCAAGCAAGACACCAUCUCCAGUAACCCCAGGCUGGUCUGACUUCCUCUGGGGGUCAUAAUCAAGAAUCACAAAAAGAACCCUAUAUGGAGAAUCUGGUCUAUGGACCUAACAACAGCACAAUUCCGAAGGCAGACCAAGGAAGAGCCAUCCUGAUUCAUGUCUGCACUAUGUUCCAUGUGAAAGCACCGCUGACACAUUGACCCAACAAUGAAAAGAGCGGCAGUUUACACACUAGGCUCUCUGUGUCCUUUCCUCCCUAUUGAGAUUGGUUUGUUUUUAUGCUUUAAUGCAUUUUUAAAAAUCAGCAUUUCACAUUGUAA
rnacentral:lncRNA from 1 species